rnacentral:rRNA from 1 species
UACAGGGGGGGCAAGCGUUGUUCGGAAUUACUGGGCGUAAAGGGCUCGUAGGCGGCCAACUAAGUCACACGUGAAAUCCCCAGGCUUAACCUAGGAACUGCGUGUGAUACUGGAUGGCUUGAAUUCGGGAGAGGGAUGCAGAAUUCCAGGUGUAGCGGUGAAAUGCGUAGAUAUCUGGAGGAAUACCGGUGGCGAAGGCGGCAUCCUGGACCGACAUUGACGCUGAGGAGCGAAAGCUAGGGGAGCAAACGGG